rnacentral:rRNA from 1 species
GACGAACGCUGGCGGCGUGCUUAACACAUGCAAGUCGAACGGAAAGGCCUCUUUCGGGGGGUACUCGAGUGGCGAACGGGUGAGUAAUACGUGAGUAAUCUGCCCUUGACUUUGGGAUAACUUCAGGAAACUGGGGCUAAUACCGGAUAGGAGCUCCUUCUGCAUGGUGGGGGCUGGAAAGUUUCGGCGGUUGGGGAUGGACUCGCGGCUUCUCCGCUUGUUGGUGGGGUAGUGGCUUACCAAGGCUUUGCCGGGUAGCCGGCCUGAGAGGGUGACCGGCCACAUUGGGACUGAGAUACGGCCCAGACUCCUACGGGAGGCAGCAGUGGGGAAUAUUGCACAAUGGGUGGAAGCCUGAUGCAGCAACGCCGUGUGCGGGAUGACGGCCUUCGGGUUGUAAACCGCUUUCGCUCAUGACGAAGCUUUGUGUGACGGUAGUGGGUAAAGAAGCACCGGCUAACUACGUG